rnacentral:rRNA from 1 species
CCAAUAGCGUAUAUUAAAGUUGUUGCAGUUAAAAAGCUCGUAGUUGAAUUUCGGGGUUAGUAAGUUGGUCGUGCCACUGGUAUGUACUGGCUUUACUGAUUCCUCUUUCUUGUAGAACAGUAAUGCCAUUAAGUUGGUGUUGCGGGAAAACAGGACUGUUACUUUGAAAAAAUUAGAGUGUUUAAAGCAAGCUAACGCUUGAAUACAUUAGCAUGGAAUAAUGAAAUAGGACGUUCGAUCCUAUUUUGUUGGUUUCUAGGAUUGACGUAAUGAUUAAUAGGGAUAGUUGGGGGCAUUAGUAUUCAAUUGUCAGAGGUGAAAUUCUUGGAUUUAUUGAAUGCUAACUACUGCGAAAGCAUUUGCCAAGGAUGUUUUCAUUAAUCAAGAACGAAAGUUAGGGGAUCGAAGACGAUCAGAUACCGUCGUAGUCUUAACCAUAAACUAUGCCGACUAGGGAUCGGAUGAUGUUAAUUUUAUAAUGACUCAUUCGGCGCCUUACG